AUGUUCCCAGAGUCAGGCUUUCUUUGGCUGUCUGCACAGGAAGAAGAUUGCGUAGAACAUCCUUCAGCUAAUUUCCUCUCUUCUGCAGUUCUAGCUUUAUGAGAAACCAAUCCUGAAACAGUCCUCAGCUUUGACUUACAGCAGAGCAGUUCACGUGGAAGCAUCAUGAUCCCCAUUUUACUUGUGACAAAACUGAGGCCCAGAGAGACUUUGAGGAACCUGAUCCCAGUCACACAGCUGGAAAGGAGGAGAGUCAGGUCUGGCCAUUGCAUGACCAUUGAUUUGUCAAUUUCUCUGUGAUAGCAGUGCAUUACACCAUAUGCUGUUGAUCAUCUUAUGAGCGUCUCUCCCUGAAGAGAUUGUGAUCUCCUGAAGAACUGGGAUACUAUCUAACUCAUCUGUGUAUGCCCAGCACCUAGCCCAGAGCCUGCUAUGUGGUCCACGCUUAUUGAUUGAAUGAUGAAUAAAUUAAUG